CUUAGCUGCAGUCGAGCGGCCAGCUUAGCUUGGCAGCGGCAGACGGGUGAGUAACACGUAGGAAUCUACCUCAAAGUGGGGGAUAGCCAGCCGAAAGGUUGGGUAAUACCGCAUGUGAUCGAAAGAUUAAAGCAGCAAUGCGCUUUGAGAGGAGCCUACGCCCUAUCAGCUAGUUGGUGAGGUAAUAGCUUACCAAGGCAAUGACGGGUAACCGAUGUGAGAGCAUGAUCGGUCACAAGGUCACUGAGACACGGGACCUACACCUACGGGUGGCAGCAACUGGGAAUCUUGCGCAAUGGGCGAAAGCCUGACGCAGCGACACCGCGUGUGGGAUGAAGCUUUUAGGAGUGUAAACCACUGUGGCGAGGGAUGAAUUUUGACAGUACCUCGCUAGAAAGCACUUGCUAACUACGUGCCAGAAGCCUCGGUAAUACGUAGAGUGCGAGCAUUAUCCGGAUUUACUGGGCGUAAAGCGUACCGUCGGUGAUUUGGUAAGUUCUUUGUCUAAGCCUGGAGCUCAACUCCAGAAAGGCAGGGAAAACUAUCAGAAUUGAGUCUGUUCGGGGAACUUGGAAUUCUCGGUGGAGGGGUGAAAUCCGUAGAUAUCGAGAGGAACGCCAAGCGCGAAGGCAGGGUUCUAGGACACGACUGACACUCAGGGACGAAAGCUAGGGGAGCAAAAGGGAUUAGAGACCCCUGUAGUCCUAGCCGUAAACAUUGGAUGCUAGCUGCUUCACU
rnacentral:rRNA from 1 species